rnacentral:rRNA from 1 species
GACAGAGGUGCCGAGCGUUAGGCGGAAUCACUGGGCUUAAAGCGUGUGUAGGCGGAUCUGUAAGUACCUUGUGAAAUCCCACGGCUCAACCGUGGAACUGCUUGGUAUACUGCGGGUCUUGAGCCACCUAGGGGCAAGUGGAACAAGCGGUGGAGCGGUGAAAUGCGUAGAUAUCGCUUGGAACGCCAAUGGUGAAAACAACUUGCUGGGGGUGUGCUGACGCUGAGACACGAAAGCCAGGGGAGCAAACGGG